CUGGGAACUAUGAUGACCGUAUAGUUCAGCUGAUGAGUCUAUGCUGAAUAACAAAUUUAGUCUUUCACCCCUAUCUGACAAUUCCCAC
rfam:Strongyloides papillosus strain LIN genome assembly, scaffold: SPAL_scaffold0000001